rnacentral:lncRNA from 1 species
GGGCAUGGUAGCACACGCCUGUAGUCUCAAGCUACUCAGGAGGCUGAGGUGGUAGAAUCCCUUGAACCCGGGAAGCAGAGGUUGCAGUAAGCCAAGAUUGUGCCACUGCACUGCAGCCUGGGCAACAAAGUGAGACUCCAUCCCUCCCCAUCAAAAAAGAGAGAAAAGAAAAAAAAUCCAAAAUCGGCAUGGAACCACAAAAAAAAAAAAAAAAAAUAGCCAAGGCAAUUUUGAAAAAGAAAAACAACGGUGGAGGCAUCACACUUCUGGAUUUGAAACAAUGUUAUAAAGGUGUAUAAUAUGGUUUGCCCUGCCUUUCUCUGGCAAAGACAGACUGUGAGGUCUACAUGGCUAAUUUCCAAGCAGCCACAUGCCCUGCAGACAUGAACUCCUAGCAGGGAGCUCAGAGGCCUGCUUGGCUUUAGCUGGGCUCCGAACACACAGCAGCCCUUGAAGGCUCCUCCCUCUGCUCUCCCUCUGCUCUCCUUCUGCUCCUCCCUCUCCUCUCCUUCUGCUAUUGCCUCUGCUGCAGAAGCCACAGGCUCCCCUAACGUCCUCCUGCCCCCUGCUCUGGAAUAUACUCUCACCGUUUGAUGGACUUUGCUGGGCUGCUCCUCCUCUUGGUAGAAUGGUUCUCUGACAUCAAGACAUGAGAGGCAUUUCUGGUUUGAAGGCUAUCUGAUGCUGUUUCCUGGGUCAUGAUCAAGGCUCGGAAAACAAGUCCUGCUGAUAUCAUACCUCACAACUAUUUCGGGAUUGGUCAGCAACUCAAAUAUUGUCUUCUGUUAAGCAAUGUCUGUUAAACGGGAAAAUGGACGAGAGACAUAAAUAGAGAGAUCACAGGAAAAUGCAAAUAUCCACUAGCCAUAUCAAACAUAUCAAACCAUAUCAAGUGCUCAAGCUCACUUAUAAUUUAAAAAUGCAAAUUAAAAAUACACCCGGAUACUAUUUUCAUUUUCAUCUGUCACAUUGGUGAAAAUCCAAAGAGUAAAUAAGAGGACAUUCUUUCUGACACCACCAUGAAAACAAGCACUCACUCCUCAAUGACAAAAUUGUCCAAAGACCAGAUAGAGCAACUGGGCAAUACUCAUAUAAACUGCAAAUAUAUUUAACUUUUGUCCCUUGAUCUCAUUUCUGGAAAGCUGUGGUAUAAUGGUAUAUGUAAGGAAUGACAUUAGGGACAAUUGCAGCGUCAUGUAUAUGAAAGUUGACUUCAUAAAUUGAGUUAUUCUGGUCAUACCCGAC